CACACCUGGGGGCACACCUGGGGGCACACCACCUGGGCAGGAGGGUCUGGAGGGGUCCCUGGCGCUGGCGCCCGGGAUGGAGAAUUGCGGCCGUGCCGAAAAUCCCACCCGGGAUCCCCAAAAUCAUCCCCAAAAUCCCACCCGGGAUCCCCAAAAUCCCACCUGGGAUCCCCAAAAUCAUCCCCAAAAUCCCUCAUGGGAUCCCCAAAAUCAUCCCCAAAACCAGACCUGGGAUCUCCAAAAUCAUCCCAAAAAUCCCACCUCGGAUCCCCAAAAUCCUCCCCAAAAUCCUUCCUGGGAUCCCCAAAAUCUGCUCCAAGAUGCUGAAAAUUCUCCCCAGAAUCCCCCCUGGGAUCCCCAAAAUCCACCCCAGGACCCCCAAAAUUCUCCCCAGGAGCCCCAAAAUUCCCCAAAUCCCCCCUGGGACCCCCAAAAUCCCGAAAUUCCGGCCCGGGGCCGGGUCAGCCGCCUGCGGAGCCGCUUUGUCCCCGAGCCGGGGGGGGACGAGGGGCAUGGGGCGGUCACUCUGGGGUCACCUGGCGGUCAAGGGUCAGCCAAGGACAUAGGAACGGUCAAAGGUCAUGGAGUGACCUCUGGCCUGGGGACGGAGGAGGGACAGGGGAAGGUCAAAGGUCACGGAGUGACCGCUGGCCUGGGGACGGAGGAGGGACAGGGGAAGGUCAAAGGUCACGGAGUGACCGAUGGCCGGAUGACAGAGGAGGGACAGGGGAAGGUCAAAGGUCACGGAGUGACCACUGGCCUGGGGACAGAGGAGGGACAGGGGGCGGUCAGGGGGAUGCUCAAGAACUGGACGGUGCUGGACGGCCGGGGGGGUCAGGGGUCAGCGGGGACACCGGGGACAAUGUCCGGCCACCAGCCCAAGCCCUCGGUGACCCCUCCGAUGGCCACGCUGACCACUGCCCCUGUGACGUCACCGCUGUCCCCUCCCCCCUGGCCCUCGGGGUCACCUCCCCAGUGCGGGGGCGGGGCCGCGGGGGCGCCGGUGGGGGGCGCUGUCCCCAAAUCCGGGGUCACUGUCCCCAACACCGGGGUCACUGUCCCCAGUGCUGGGGUCACUGUCCCCAAAUCCGGGAUCACUGUCCCCAAUGCUGGGGUCACUGUCCCCAAAUCCGGGGUCACUGUCCCCAAUGCUGGGGUCACUGUCCCCAAAUCCGGGGUCACUGUCCCUGUGUCCAGUCCUGUCCCCAACGCUGGGGUCGCUGUCCCCAAAUCCGAGGUCACUGUCCCCAACACCGAGGUCACUGUCCCCAAAUCUGGUGACACUGUCCAGCUGUCCAGUUCUGUCCCCAAACCUGAGGUCCCUGUCCCUGUGUCCAGUUCUGUCCCCAAAUCCGGGGUCACUGUCCCCAAAUCCAGUGCCACCUCCCCCGUGCCCAGCGCCACCGCCCAGCCGUCCCCCCGCCG
rnacentral:lncRNA from 1 species